UAAGACAUCCGGGAUAAAUGACUCAGCUGAGCUCAAUGAAGCCAAAACAUGUGCGUCCAGGCUUAAUUGGUUGCACAAAGACCAAGCCAGGAUGAGCAGACACGGAUUCAUUAAGCCAGGUGAAACCAAUUCUGGAUAGGUGCGCGCUCACGGCUCACUCAAAUAGACCCCGCCACAGAUCACAGAUUAACUGAUUUACCAUGGCAACUAGAGCCGCGUACUUUUCCCCGUCGGAAGCACAAAUCCUCAUGGAGGCAUACGAGGAGGUAAAAUAUAUAAUUAAGAAGAAAGGCAACACCGCCACAGUGAUAAAGCAAAGAGAAAAAGCGUGGCAAAGUAUUGCAGACCGCCUGAAUGCAUUAAACAUGAACGGGCCAAAACGGACAUGGCAGCAGGUCAAAAUCAAAUACAAGAACAUUCUGCAGAAUGCAGUGAAAAAGAAUACCCACAGACAAGGCACGGGUGGUGGGUCACCAAAGGCUGACCUUACCCCAGCAGAGGACAUGGCCUUGGAGCUAAAUAAAGGCAGGCCCGUCUUAGAGGGGAUCCCUGGGGGAAAGAGACGAGCAUAGGUUCCUCCCAAGAUGCCACCCGCUUCAUUCAAGUGUCUGGCAGCACUGUGUUCCUGUUAGAGCCACCAGCACAAGCACCAGACGAUGCUGAUCCAGGUGAAGGCCCCAGUGCAGCAGCAACAGCACAUGAUGGAGACGAUGAUGAGGAGGAGACCAUCUCUCUGGAUUCCAGAAGGCAUGAGGUAUCAUGUUAAGACUGUGAAAGUACUAUUUACUCUACAAUGGUGAGGAGUCCUCAUCAAAAUCAAAAAAUCUAAUUUAUUUUACAGGACCCAGAUGCUAUACAGUGGGAAAACCAGCCUGGCAACAGUGCGUAUUAAUAAAAGGACACCACAUCCUGCCAAAUUCCAGCUGCGCUAAUUGUAUUGUGUUCACAGAGCUCACAAGCUAUCAGAAAGUUGUAUGGCAACCACCUCCGGCGCCAAAUAGAACUGGCAGACAUAGACAUUCAGUACAAGAAGAAAAAGAUGGAAAAUCUUGCACUGGAGUCCGAAAUAAAAAAGAGGACAAUUAGGAAACUGGACCUUGAAAUAAAAAAACUUGAGCGGGAGGUGAGAUAUGCCUUCAAUGUACACUGUAUGCUAACUGUAACACACAUGUAUUAAUCAUUAUUUUUCUUUCCUCCCCCAGCUCCAAGAAGAUGACACAGCUCAAAAUAAAAAUUUGGUAUAUUCUCAUAAAGUCAAGUGAGCCAUGACAUAUGAGCUCUUAUUGUGAGCACACAGGACGGUGGCAUCUUUCUAAGGUUUUUUUUAUUUUCCCAGCAAUCAGUACAACCAAGUCAUCGUUAUAAGGCAUCGCCCUCUUUUGCCCACCCCCCCAGCACCAGGUGUGGCCACUAGCCUAUAUGAAGGCCCAAAAUUGUGUGUUCCUUUCUGCUCUGACAAUGGCAUGCCCUUUCGUGCGAGAUGUGGUGGAUGAAGAAGCACUUGUGCUGAGGAGAGCCUUCAGGCGAGAAAGGGUCUUCAGGGACCGGUUGGACCCACUGGCCUUCCCUGAUGACCAUCUAUAUGAAAGAUACAGGUUUUCUGCAGAUGGCAUCAGGUAUCUAUGCAGACUACUGGGUCCCAGGAUUAAGCACCGCACUGCACGGAGCCAUGCACUGAGUGUGGAGCAAAUGGUUUGUGUGGCCUUGCGCUUUUUGCUAGUGGAGCCUUCCUGUACUCAGUGGGGGAUGCAGAACAGCUGAACAAGGCCACAAUUUGCCGCACAAUAAGGAGUGUGUGUCUGGCUAUCAAAGCAUUAGCAGAUGUCUUCAUCUCCUUCCCUGGCCACAGAAGACUCUGUGACAUCAAAGAGGAGUUCUAUAGGAUUGCAGAUGGUCUGCAAUGCUGACUGUGUGAUCAGCAUUGUUGUGGCAAGUUGGCCUGGCUCAGUCCAUGACUCCAGAAUCUUUCGGGCCUCUGAAAUCUAUCACAAGGUGAAUUCUCUGGUGUGUUGCUGGGAGACAGGGGGUAUGGCUGCCAGCCUUUUCUCCUGACACCUUUCACAGACCCCCAGGAAGCACAGCAGGCCUACAACCAUGCCCAUGCCAGGACCAGGGCCAGAGUUGAAAUGACCUUUGGCCUCCUGAAGGCACGCUUUCACUGCCUUCACAAAUUAAGGGUCAGCCCUGUUAGGGCAUGUGAUAUUACUGUGGCUUGUGCUGUCCUCCACAAUGUGGCCUGCCUGAGGAAGGAGAGGGCCCCAGAGUGCCACCAGCCAUGGACUGGGACAAUCCGGCAAUCUUCCCUGAUGACGACAGUGGUCGGCUGCUGAGGGACCAAUAUGUGUUGAAUUAUUUUAGUUAGUAUGUGUGCUUUCAAUUUUGGUUAAAUAUGUCCUGCGGUGGCAGAGGAAUUUGGGUUUUUUUUGGGUUCGUUUUUUGACGAAUUUGGCCUCAUGAUGUUUGUGCGGUAUACUGUGUGUAAUACAAGGCUGCAGGGAGGCUACUGCAUCCAUUCAUUUGUCUGUUCAGUUGAUGUGUAUGGAUUUGUCCUGCAUUUAUUUUAGUGUGCAGACAUGCAGGGUGUGUUAUAUACAGACCUUUGAAUGUGUAUGUAUCAUUUUGUAUAAUAUGCUUGGAUUCUGUGCUUUCCAUCUUGUAGAGUCACUGUGACUUCAGUUUCGAAAGGAGCUGAUGGUUUACCUG